UGGAUCGAAGAUGACCACUGGUGGCGUGUGAGUCAUAUAUGAUGUAUACGUGUCUGGAACUCUGAGAUCCCA
rnacentral:snoRNA from 1 species